UGCUGUGGUCAUAUCCCUUUUGAUGUUACUUCUGUAGCUGAAUCUUUUAAACGCUGUAAGUUUAGAAAAAGCCCAGGACCAGAUAAUAUCAGUGGUCGACUGCUCUCCUCUUGUGCGAAACAGUUGGCUCCUAUUUUUUAUUUCAUCUUCCAGAUGUCACUUAACCAACAGAGGGAGCCAAGGUGCUGGAAGCAGUCCAUAGUGAUUCCUGUGGCUAAGAUGAGCCACCCAAAAGUCCUGAAUGAUUUUAAACCUGUUGCACUGACUUCCCUUGUCAUGAAAUCUUUGGAAAAAUUGAUUAAGAGAUCUCUUCUUACCAAGACUGAACAUUUAUUGCAUCCUUUACAGUUUGCCUACAGGGCCGGUCAGGGAGUUGAGGAUGCCACUGCCACUUUACUAAACUGUGUUUUUAAACAUCUCAAAAGUAACAAAAACCAUGUUAAGUUGUUAUUUGUUGACUUCUCAUCGGCUUUUAACACAAUCCAGCCCCAUAUUUUGAUUGAUAAACUUCUUAAUAACUUUCAUCUGGAUUUUAAUGUGGUGGGCUGGAUUCUUGAUUUUUUAACAUCCAGAACGUAGAAAGUCAGAGUGAAUGGAUGCAUGUCCAGAGAGAUGUCCCUGUCUACUGGGUCCACUCAAGGCUGCGUCCCUUCCCCUCUUCUUUACAUUUUGUACACAGACGACUGUCGCAGUUGGCAUGAUAACAGGUUAAUAUUAAAAUUUGUAGAUGACUCGGUGAUAGUUAGCCUUCUACAUGAUGAUGAACAUGCCCAUGGCCCUGUGGUCGAUGAAUAUGUUGACUGGUGUGAUAAAGCUUUUCUUUCAUUAAAUGUACAGAAAAGAAAGGACAUGUGCAUUGAUUUUAGACAGAAGCCCCAUAAAACAAAUCAAACAGUAAUUAAAGGUCAGACAGUGGAGACAGUAGAAAACUACAAAUAUCUUGGGACUAUUUUGGAUAAUAAGUUAAAAUUUACCUGCCAUUCAGAAAACCU